UACGUAGGGUGCGAGCGUUGUCCGGAAUUAUUGGGCGUAAAGAGCUCGUAGGCGGUGUGUCACGUCGUUCGUGAAAACCUGCAGCUUAACUGUGGGCGUGCGGUCGAUACGGGCAUCACUGGAGUUCGGCAGGGGAGACUGGAAUUCCUGGUGUAGCGGUGAAAUGCGCAGAUAUCAGGAGGAACACCGGUGGCGAAGGCGGGUCUCUGGGCCGAUACUGACG
rnacentral:rRNA from 1 species